GAUGUACAAGUCAGGAUGACCUGAAUUAGAGCCCAAACCCGUCCCGUCGAGGUGGUUGGCAGCCUCAAUAAUUCUGAGAAGCUUUUCUGGGAGCCAUAUUUAUUUAUUUAAUAUAGACUUAAAUGGCAUUCCUUAAACCACUACUUUACCAGGCCAUCAGUGCAUGUUACGCUUAAAAUCAGUGCGUCCUACCGCCGCCUGGUGGCAAAACAUACAAAUCGCAACACGCAUUUGCAGAUCUCUGCUGCGGUUGAACUGUAGUAAAAUUCACGUGUAAAAAGAGUGUGAAUUGAGAGGCCUGUCUGAAUUGUAACUGAUGACUUGUCGGUAUAAGCAUUUACAGAUUUGUCUACACAUUCACAGAUAUAUGUACCCAUUUACAGAUUUGUCUACACAUUCACAGAUAUAUGUACCCAUUUACAGAUUUGUCUAUGCAUUUACAGAUUUGUCCAUACAUUAACAUAAUCUGAAUACACAUUUGCAGAUUCCUGUACACAUUCACAAAAUCAGUAUGCAUUUACAGAUUAAUUUACACAUUUACAAAUCUGAUUACACACACACAGAUUGAGAUACAGUUACACAACUCUCCACACACAUUUGUAAAUUGUUUUGCUACAAUAAUGCCCCCAUAAUCAGGGAGCUGUCUGUGGUGUUAAACAUCUCUCACAGCACCUCAUUUCACUAGGCACCAUGUUUAUACAGACAAAAACAUUUAUUUUCAAUGAAAAAACCCUACUUACUGCACGUUUAAUAAAAGAACUGUAAACCCUCCCCAAGACUACAUUUGAAAAAGCAGGCUGUCAAAGAACUUUCAAUGCCGAAUGACUUGCUGAGUGACUGACUACAGGGGCCCUUGUUAAAUAGCGUAGUGGUUAAAGACACGGACUGCCAUACAGGGGAUCGGAGAUCAAGCUUUGCCAUAGUCAAAACUAAUAAUUAAUUAGGAUUUGUUCAGGACAGACCAAAACUAUGCUGGCUUGAACCAGCAGUAUCUAUGUUAUAGUAAGCCUAAAAUAAAACUCUUUAUGGUCAAAUUGCGACUAUUUCUGUUGGAUUUUCAAAGAACGCAUCUGUGCAUGCUUUUUUGGGUAAUACAGAUCACAACCCAUUUGGCAGCAAAAUAGGUGUUUCCACAAUUCUCUUGUCUUUUCACUUGACAAAAAAGUCAGUUAUCGUCACCUAUAUUGAUAGUUUUUGUAUCCAUGUUAUUCUUGAAUGAAAGAAAAAAUAACGUUGUUGUGCCAUGAAUUUAAAUAGCUUGGCAGAGUAAAGAUAAUCUUCAGUCCUCUAGCAAUUGCUCAAUUCUUAUGACUAUUCCAAGUAGUAAAUUAGUAGAUACUAGUAAGCCUAUUACUAUAUAAUAAGCUUUUAAAACGGCCAGUGCCAAAAGCCACACAGUUCAUGGAUGCUGUUUGUGGUGGAAGUGAACUUAAGGAGAAAUAAUAAUCAGUUUAACACAGUGCUUAAUGGUGUCUAGUUAAAUAUUUAAACUUGGUGUGAUGUUAAUGCAUGACAAAAUGAUCUGAUGUUGGGUCAGAGGUUCUCUAGGAUCAGGUAAACGGUCAGUGUCAGAGGAUCUCUAGGCCCAGGUAAACAGUCAGUGGAUCUCUAGGAUCAGGUAAACAGUCAGAGGAUCUCUAGGACCAGGUAAACAGUCAGAGGAACUCUAGGACCAGGUAAACAGUCAGAGGAUCUCUAGGACCAGGUAAACAGUCAGAGGAACUCUAGGACCAGGUAAACAGUCAGAGGAACUCUAGGACCAGGUAAACAGUCAGAGGAUCUUUAGGACCAGGUAAACAGUCAGAGGAUCUUUAGGACCAGGUAAACAGUCAGAGGAUCUCUAGGACCAGGUGAACGGUCAGUGGAUCUCUAGGACCAGGUAAACAGUCAGUGUCAGAGGAUCUCUAGGACCAAUCAAGUGAACCAAGUUUGUU
ensembl:lncRNA